CUAUUCUCCCAAUGGGCAUGGCGUGCUCUUCCGGUGGGGACAUAGAGACCAUGAUGUGGUUCAGGGCAGGCAGUGAUUAUUCUCGACAGGAGACACUGACAGGGGGCAGCUGGAUUGAAGCAUGGAGCCUCUCUCAACCCAGAUCCCUCUGUCUCUCCCGUGGCUCAGACAAAACUCCAGAGCACACACUUGAAUCGCCUUCCUACCCCAGACAAGCUAGGAACGUCCAUCAACAUUCUAUCUGGCAUCUGCCAGUGCCUGAAAAACACGAGGAAUCCAAUGCCCUUCUCUGUCUUCUCAAUUGACUCCUCUGUGUAGUUUUCAGAGAUCUUCCUCAUCACUGGAGGCACUGAGCAAAAGCUGUAACGACCACAGCAUACGAGACUCAUGGGAAGGGAAGGCCUAUUUCAUGAUUGCUGUAUGAUCUGAUGCCACGGAUUCAAGCAUCCUUCCUCACUGGGACAGCUAUCCUAGGACACUUACUUACUAUCCUAGAUCACUAAACCAGAUAAUUCAACUCAGAGUGGACUUCAGACUUUGGAUCCUGGGCAGGAACAAGAUGUGGAAGAGCUUGAUUUAUUUAUUUCUCUGCAGACACCACUGAAAGAGGAAGCAUUUGAUGAAGCUGAUAACAUUAAUGGCAGACAAGUGGAUCUGAGGGUAUUUAAUUCCCGGCUCCUGGUGGUCUGGGCACAACCGAAAGGUCUGCAACAAGACCUUCCAAGCUUUGUCUCAGUACAAAGCUUGCACCCAGGAAUGGAGUAGGCUCUGAUCCUGCCCUGCUGCCUGUUGCUCUGUUAUUCUAAGUUGGCAGCCGAGUGUGGAAACUUAAGAGGCCAGGGCCGGCAGGCAGAGGAGCUCUGGACACAGGAAACACACUGCUUUUGGACGGUUCCAGCCCACUGUGGGCAGCACCAUUCCCUGGUCAGAUGAUCCUGGGCUAUAUAAGAAAGCCAGGUGUGAGCCUGCGAGAAAACCAGCAAUAAGCACACCUCCACGGCCAACAAUGAAGACUGACACAGUUCCCAGAGCAGUUCUGAAAGAGAUGGUGGAGUCUAGAGAGACUACGUCUGAACUCGCCUAUAGAGGUCACUCUGCAGAGCCAGCCCCACUUGGAUUUCAGCCCAGACUGGCAGCUUACUUAAGGAGCUUUUAGGGGACCAGUGUCAAGUGCAUGUACAUCUUGGGGACAGGGCCUUUCUUUGGCAAGAGUGGCAAUCUGAGAUACUUUCAUCUCCAUGGGGGCCUUACCCUGCUGAACUGGAACGCUUUUGUUGUCUACAAGAACCUUCAAGGAUUCCUCCAGAGUCUCCUCCUUUGAUGAAGCUGGACCUGCUACCUGUACCUGGGUGUCAUCUCCCCUCCCAUCAUGCCCCCUGUGUGCGUACUGUAAUCAGUGUUUCCUCGGAGCAUCCGGGAGCUCCGCCAGGCAACUCCCCCAGUGCAGGCAUGCUGUGGGCACCCAGGCCACGUUUCCAAAUGAAGAAUGAAUUUACCAGCAAUAAAAACAGCAUAUCAAGUGAACUAUUCAGCCCCUUGCUUUGUCUACACCUCAAGCAAGCAAAGAGAAGUCUCUUUCCAGUACCUUCGUCAUGGUUCUGAUGCAGGAGGACCUCUGGCUUGGUGUGGAUAGAGUCCCCAGGGGGGAAGAAUGGUGAGAAGAGCAUUCGAGAUUUCCUCUGCUUCAGGAUAUGCUGAAGGAGUUCAUAGAGCACGUCGCCUGGAGAGAAAAAGGAACAAGAAGCGAAGAGGUGGGAUGCGUUGCUUAACAGCUACGUUAACUGUGUUAACUAACAGAACGGAUUGUUGACCUUUGACAGGGAUAGGACACAGCGCCUAUUCCUAUGUAUGACUCUACAUGUCAGGGCUGUGUGGUUUUUUAACAGUUCUUAUUUUAAGAUUUAGUUUAAGUUUGAUUUAGGUGCGUGUGGGCCAUGUGCAUAUGUGGGAGUUUGCAGAGGUCAGAAGCUGAUGCUGUCAAGUCGUGAUGCUGGACAGUGCACUUAGAGCUUGCUAAGUGAGGAGACGUUGGGACAAAUGUACUCAUAACUAAAUUAGUAACAAUUAUAAUAAUAAAGAGGCUUUCAUGGGUUCAUCAGAUAUCAACCAAGUUGUUUCUACAUGCUAACAAUAAGAGCAGUCCACUGUGCUGCAAACCUGAGAUCUCAGCCUUCGGAAAGCUCAUUCUGGGGAGAGCCUAGGCUACCUGAGACCCUGUCUCCAACAACAACGACGACGGCAACGAAAAGUAAAAGUAAAAAAAGCAACAUA
rnacentral:lncRNA from 1 species